UGUCACCCCAACAGUGGGCUCCUUCUUCCUGAGGAGCCGCCCACUGCCUGACACCUAGAAGCGCGGAUAAUCUGCUACACAAAGCCUCUCAGAUCGGGAAUCACAAAAACUGUAUGUACCCGAGAGCACAAAUCAUUGUGAAGGGAGCUCAUCUCUGUCAGUUGCCCCGGCGGCCCAUUACAAGACCGGCAAAAGGGGAGGCGCAGCGCCAUCUGGUGUCCAUGUAGGGAAGAGCGGAGACCGCUGAGGAAUUGCUACCAAGUAGAACAUUGCCUGCAUGUGUAAUGAAGUCUCUGGCCCUGAUUAUUAUGCUUUACUUCGCAUUCAUUCUAGGACCACACUCACAAAGACUGGAAAAAGUAGCCGGAUGUGCUAUUGCACAGCUUCCUGAAAGUGUCUCAGUCAGCGAAAGACAAAGACAAACCAGAAAUGCUUUCUCCAAAACAAAAUAGCACAGCUUACCAUAAUAAAAAGAUUGUUACUCUGAGAAAUAAAAAGUACAAAAAAAUUUCAAAAACUACUCUUCGAAGCCAUGGGGUUAUUUGAAGAUAAAAGAAUCAAAAGAAAACAUCGGGAGUUAGCUUAGAGCUUGCUCCUCAGCACCCAGCAUGUACAGAGUGUAUGAGAGUGUUGUCAGUGGCUGGAAAUUUUGUACGAAAAUACACUUGUAACUGAUUGAUUUUGCCACUGACUCCUCCCCUUUUAAAGUUGAUAGUUCUUUCUAAUCCUUUUAUUUUACUAUUUUAAUUGUAUGUAUUUGUGGAUUGCAGUGUGAUAAUUUACAAGUACAAUGUAUAAUGACCAAAUCCAGGUCACUAGCAUUUCCAUCUCUUUAAACAUUCAUUAUUUUUUAUGUUGGAAAGCCUCAAACUUUUCUCUUCUCGUUCUUUAUAAAAUAUGCAAGAAACUGCUGUGAACUAUAGUAACCUUGAUGUGAUACAGAGCACUAAAACUUACCCCUCUUUCUAACUGUAUUUUGGCACCUAUGAUUGGUUCCCCCUUUAUUGCCUCUCUCCACUACCUGUCCUAGACUCUAGUAACUACUAGUUCACUCUCUACUUCUAUGAAAUCAACAUUUUUUAGCUUCCAUGUAUGAAUAAAAACAUGCAGGGUUGUUUUUCUAAGCCUGGAUUCUUUCACUUAAAGUCCUCCAGUGUCACUCAUGUUGCCACAAAUGACAAGGCUUUAUUCCUUUUCAUGGUUGAAUAAUAUUCCAUUGCAUAUAUGUACUAUACUUUUUUAACCCAUUCAUCUGCAAGUG
ensembl:lncRNA